UAUGGCUCAGCAGUUGAGUGCCCUCAGUUCAAUCCUUGGUACAAAAAAAAAAAAGUUUCCUAGCAUUAUGCAAUCUGUGUUCUCAGAAAUUAUUUAUGAUAAAAAUUUUACAACACUAACUCUCCCAGCAAUACAUUACUUUUAGAGUCCUAAAGUGAAGAUUCCUUUUUGAGUAGAAAGCAAGUACUUCAUUAACCUUUCUUUAUAUUUGAUUGUUUAUCAGUAAACAUUGAUAUUACAUCAGAAUUUAAUUUUUUCCUUUGAAACUAAUAAUAUGAAGUGGCUCUUUUUAUCCAGAGUGUUUUGUUUCAGACACUGAUUCACAGGGGCUAAAAAAUAAGAUAAGCUUUUUGCCAUUGAUGAGUUAACAGUUAUUGCAGGAGAGAGAGAAAGAAAUCAGUCACCAUCAUAUGGUUUGAUUAACUCUAUGCUGGAGGAACAAGUACAGUGUCAUAGAGGAGGGCAUCCAGUUCAACUUCAGGAUGAAGUAGUUAUUCUGUAGAGACAACUCUCAGAAGCAUAAUACAUAUACAAAUUUUGUGUUUCACCUUCUACGGUAUAUGUAAGCAGUAUUUAUUGUUAGAAUCAUCAACAAUUAUUUUACAAAGGGGAAAAAUGAAUCCUUUUGAACCUUCAUUUCUCAGAAGUGCUCUGAUCCCAGAGUCAUCCAUUGGAAGAUUCAGAGGAACCCGAGGUCCUUGAAGAUUUUUACAUGCACUUUCCAUCAGGAAAUCCUAAAGAGUAAAGAACACCUGGAACUUCAGACUCUCCUAAAUCUCUGUGAUCCAUUUGCCCCACGCUUCUGCGUUUGGCUUCACGGAUUUUUUUCUGGGUAAAAUUCUGCCUUGCACCUGCUUCAGCAAGAGAGCACAGAGCCAGAGACAGCAGCCCAAGUCUGUGUCAGUGGAGAUCUGAGUCGCGGCCCAGAUUCAAGGAAGGCGCGCCGCGCGCUCGCGCGCCCCCUGCCGGCCGGGCCCCGGGGCCCCAGCUACCUGGAUCGGGCGCCUCCCGAAGCGGUUGACUCCAUUGGGAUCUGCACCGGCUUCCAGAAGCUGCCGCACCUUCUCCACUUGUCCCCGCGCCGCGGCGCUGGCCAGGCCCGCAUCGCUGCCGCUGCCGCCGAGCAUGCCCUUGUCCUCUUCUCGCAUUCCUCAGCCUCCAGACACUGAGCGGUUCGGAUAAUCCACUGCUGACCCUGAGUUUAGCGACCCUCCACUUUCUUCCACACUGCUGGGGCGCACUCCUCCCUCCUCAGCAGAGCCAGGCUUAGCUUCACCCCCCUCUCUCUGUCCUUCUGCCGUUUGGGGCCGGUGCAAUGGUGGAGUGGUUAACUUCGGAUUUUUUCUGGAGCCGGAGAACCAGCGAACGCUCGUGGCUCGCUCCUGGGAAAAAGCGCCUGGCGCGGCCGCUGCCUAACUCUGGCGGAGUGGGGAGCCAGCUGCGAAUGAAUUCCGUUUCCAGCUGGGCUGCCCGCCCGGCUCUCCCCACCCCCCUAGGCUCCGCCUCCUGUCCCGCAGGCCAGCUAGGGCGCGUCCCUGGGGCUGGGGGAGACGUCCAGCAGCGGGCCGGUGACGUCACAGACCAUGGGGGCGGUGUUUAGAGCGCGGAGCGAGAGGGGCGGGGCGGAGGGAGUCGGGCAGCCAGCCCAGAAGAUUCUAACGUGGAACGCUCGCGAGCUGCUGGCUGGGUGUCUGGUAAAGUGAAGGCUUCGUGUUUGAAAAUCUUGACCCACUGAGCUCAGCUCCUAAUCCCCAGUAGGUGGAGCAAAGGAUUUGUAUUCCUUUAGUCCUAGGCCAACAGGUCUGGAGACAUUAGUCGCUGCAUUGUAAUCAAGUGGCUGAGAGAAAACCUUUGAAAAUAACUCCUACUUUCUAUAGAUGCCUGAAAAUGACAGCUCUGCACCUGUCAAUGCAGGGUAGAUUCAUCCCCAGGCAGUACUUAAACUUCACUAGUUUCACAUCGUGCAGAAACCUUAGCAGUUUUCUUUUGGGUGUGCCUAUUUGACUUAGUCAUCCAGAAAAAUAGUGAAAAAAAAAUCUGAGAAUCCUCUUUUGCAUGUCUUUUAAAUUCUUUUUAUCUUUGAAUUGUGGAUAUGAUUCUGAAAUAAAUAACUUUCUUUUUAGAACUAAGAGGUCAAGGCUAGCAACCUGGCAUAGGUAACACAUAUAGAGUUAUAUUUUAAGAAUCUGAGACUCCUGCUGACACAUGCCUGAAGUUUGAGCUACUCAAGAGGCUGGGACAGGAGGAUCACUUGAGUCCAGGAGUUUCAGGUCAGCUUGAGCAGUAUAAAAUGACCCUAUCUCAAAACAACAACAAAAAGUUUAAGAUCCCGGUUUCAUGAUAUUUGUGCAAUGUAUCUUUGCCCUCUAACCUAUAUAAACCCACCUCAGCGUAUGUUUGAUUUUUAUUUAUCAUGAGUAAUAAAGGACAUUUAUGCAGUAAUAAUGAAGCAUAAUAAAACAUGGGUGUGGUACUGGGCCUGUCAUUAAACUGGCUGAACCUGUCAUUAAAUCCACUUCUGAAGA